rnacentral:rRNA from 1 species
CGAACGGAAAUAUGAUUAGUUUACUAAGAUUAUUUUAGUGGCGGACGGGUUAGUAACACGUGAGCAACUUACCUCAAAGUGGGGGAUAGCCUUCCGAAAGGGAGAUUAAUACCGCAUGUGACCUCCGGGUCAAAGGGUGCUAAUUUAUUAGCACUCGCUUUGAGAUAGGCUCGCGUCCUAUCAGUUAGUUGGUGAGGUAAUGGCUCACCAAGACUACGACGGGUAGCUGUUCUGAGAGGAAGAUCAGCAACACUGGAACUGAGACACGGUCCAGACACCUACGGGUGGCAGCAGUCGAGAAUCAUUCACAAUGGACGCAAGUCUGAUGGUGCAACGCCGCGUGGAGGAUGAAGGCCCUAGGGUCGUAAACUCCUGUCAUAGCAGAGUAAGGCAUAUUAGUUAAUAGCUGAUAUGUUUGAUAGUAUGCUAAGAGGAAGGGACGGCUAACUUCGUGCCAGCAGCCGCGGUAAUACGAAGGUCCCGAGCGUUAUUCGGAAUCACUGGGCGUAAAGGGAGCGUAGGCGGCGCGGUAAGUCAGAUGUGAAAUCUGGGGGCUCAACCUCCAAACUGCAUUCGAUACUGCCGUGCUAGAGUAAUGGAGAGGUAACUGGAAUUCUCAGUGUAGCAGUGAAAUGCGUAGAUAUUGAGAGGAAGACCAAUGGCGAAAGCAGGUUACUGGACAUUUACUGACGCUGAGGCUCGAAGGCUAGGGUAGCGAAAGGGAUUAGAUACCCCUGUAGUCCUAGCAGUAAACGAUGUGCGCUUGGUGUGGGAGGGUUCGACCCCUUCUGUGCCGGAGCUAACGCGUUAAGCGCACCGCCUGGGGAGUACGGUCGCAAGACUAAAACUCAAAGAAAUUGACGGGGACCCGCACAAGCGGUGGAGUAUGUGGCUUAAUUCGAUGCAACGCGAAGAACCUUACCUAGGCUUGACAUGUAUCGCUAAUCUCCCGAAAAGGAGUGAGCCUUCGGGCACUUUACACAGGUGCUGCAUGGCCGUCGUCAGCUCGUGUCGUGAGAUGUU